rnacentral:rRNA from 1 species
GUGUCAGCAGCCGCGGUAAUACAGAGGGUGCGAGCGUUAAUCGGAGUUACUGGGCGUAAAGGGCGCGUAGGCGGUUUAUUAAGAUAGCUGUGAAAUCCCUGGGCUUAACCUAGGAACUGCAGCUAUGACUGAUGAGCUGGAGUACUGUAGAGGGUAGUGGAAUUUCCGGUGUAGCGGUGAAAUGCGUAGAGAUCGGAAGGAACACCAGUGGCGAAGGCGGCUACCUGGACAGAUACUGACGCUGAGGCGCGAGAGCGUGGGGAGCAAACAGGAUUAGAUACCCUGGUAGUCC